GGGGGAUAAGCGGCGGAAACGCCGUCUAAUACCGCGUGACAACCCGAGGGGGCAUCCCCUUGGGUUCAAAGGAGAGAUCCGGUACCGGCUGGGCAUGCGGCGCAUUAGCUAGUUGGCGGGGCAACGGCCCACCAAGGCGACGAUGCGUAGGGGUUCUGAGAGGAAGGUCCCCCACACUGGAACUGAGACACGGUCCAGACUCCUACGGGAGGCAGCAGUGAGGAAUAUUGGUCAAUGGGCGCAAGCCUGAACCAGCCAAGUCGCGUGAGGGAAGACGGCCCUACGGGUUGUAAACCUCUUUUGCCGGGGAGCAAGCCUGAGCACGUGUGCCCAGGCGGAGAGUACCCGGAGAAAAAGCAUCGGCUAACUCCGUGCCAGCAGCCGCGGUAAUACGGAGGAUGCGAGCGUUAUCCGGAUUUAUUGGGUUUAAAGGGUGCGCAGGCGGGCUGUUAAGCCGGCGGUAAAAAUUCAGGGCUCAACCCUGUCGAGCCGUCGGAACUGGCAGUCUUGAGUGGGCGAGAAGUAUGCGGAAUGCGUGGUGUAGCGGUGAAAUGCAUAGAUAUCACGCAGAACGCCGAUUGCGAAGGCAGCAUACCGGCGCCCAACUGACGCUGAGGCACGAAAGCGUGGGGAUCGAACAGGAUUAGAUACCCUGGUAGUCCACGCAGUAAAC
rnacentral:rRNA from 1 species